rnacentral:tRNA from 1 species
AAGGCCUUAUCUUAAUUAAAGAAUCUGAUUUGCAUUCAGAAGAUGUAAGAAAAGACUUGCAGGCCUUC